rnacentral:lncRNA from 1 species
UAAAGGAUAAAUUGCAUGUUUAAUCCUCAAAUUUUUUAUUAUUAUAAUUCAGAUGGAAUUUUUAGAAUUAUUAUAACCAAAUCUCAUAGCCAAAUUUAGUUGGCUAAAUAUUGAAAAAUUAUUGGUGUAGGAGUGAAGUAGCAUCUUAGUUAUUAUCGCAUUAUCAUUCACAAUACUUUUAUGUUACUUCUAUAUCAAUCAUCUGUCAAUAUUUAGCUAACUAAAUUGGAUUGUUGGACUUGAUUGCAAUAAUUUAAAAAGUUUGACCUAAAAAUUACAAUAAAUUAAAGUUUC